rnacentral:rRNA from 1 species
UACGUAGGUGGCGAGCGUUGUCCGGAAUUACUGGGUGUAAAGGGCGUGUAGGCGGGAAUGCAAGUCAGAUGUGAAAUACCGCAGCUUAACUGCGGGGCUGCAUCUGAAACUGUGUUUCUUGAGUGUCGGAGAGGAAAGUGGAAUUCCUAGUGUAGCGGUGAAAUGCGUAGAUAUUAGGAGGAACACCAGUGGCGAAGGCGACUUUCUGGACGAUAACUGACGCUGAGGCGCGAAAGCGUGGGGAGCAAACAGG